GAUGAACGCUGGCGGCGUGCCUAAUACAUGCAAGUCGAGCGAAUGGAUUAAGAGCUUGCUCUUAUGAAGUUAGCGGCGGACGGGUGAGUAACACGUGGGUAACCUGCCCAUAAGACUGGGAUAACUCCGGGAAACCGGGGCUAAUACCGGAUAACAUUUUGAACCGCAUGGUUCGAAAUUGAAAGGCGGCUUCGGCUGUCACUUAUGGAUGGACCCGCGUCGCAUUAGCUAGUUGGUGAGGUAACGGCUCACGAAGGCAACGAUGCGUAGCCGACCUGAGAGGGUGAUCGGCCACACUGGGACUGAGACACGGGCCCGACUCCUGCGGGAGGGAGCAGUAGGGAAUCUUCCGCAAUGGACGAAAGUCUGACGGGGCAACGCCGCGUGAGUGAUGAAGGCUUUCGGGUCGUAAAACUCUGUUGUUAGGGAAGAACAAGUGCUAGUUAAAUAAGCUGGCACCUUGACGGUACCUAACCAGAAAGCCACGGCUAACUACGUGCCAGCCGCCGCGGUAA
rnacentral:rRNA from 1 species